rnacentral:rRNA from 1 species
GAUGAACGCUGGCGGCGUGCCUAAUACAUGCAAGUCGAGCGAACAGACGAGGAGCUUGCUCCUCUGACGUUAGCGGCGGACGGGUGAGUAACACGUGGAUAACCUACCUAUAAGACUGGGAUAACUUCGGGAAACCGGAGCUAAUACCGGAUAAUAUAUUGAACCGCAUGGUUCAAUAGUGAAAGACGGUUUUGCUGUCACUUAUAGAUGGAUCCGCGCCGCAUUAGCUAGUUGGUAAGGUAACGGCUUACCAAGGCAACGAUGCGUAGCCGACCUGAGAGGCUGAUCGGCCACCCUGGAGCGUGGACACGGUCCAGACUCCUACGGGAGGCAGCAGUAGGGAAUCUUCCGCAAUGGGCGAAAGCCUUACGGAGCAACGCCGCGUGAGUGAUGACGGUCUUCGGAUCGUAAAACUCUGUUAUUAGGGAAGAACAAAUGUGUAAGUAACUAUGCACGUCUUGACGGUACCUAAUCAGAAAGCCACGGCUAACUACGUG